rnacentral:tRNA from 1 species
GCCCAGGUGGUGGAAUUGGCUAUACACGUGCGCCUCAAAAGCGCAUGCCGUAAGGCUUGAGGGUUCGAGUCCCUCCCUGGGCACCA